GGUUAAGCGACUAAGCGUACACGGUGGAUGCCCUGGCAGUCAGAGGCGAUGAAGGACGUGCUAAUCUGCGAUAAGCGUCGGUAAGGUGAUAUGAACCGUUAUAACCGGCGAUUUCCGAAUGGGGAAACCCAGUGUGAUUCGUCACACUAUCAUUAACUGAAUCCAUAGGUUAAUGAGGCGAACCGGGGGAACUGAAACAUCUAAGUACCCCGAGGAAAAGAAAUCAACCGAGAUUCCCCCAGUAGCGGCGAGCGAACGGGGAGCAGCCCAGAGCCUGA
rnacentral:rRNA from 1 species